AUUGAACGCUAGCGGGAUGCUUUAUACAUGCAAGUCGAACGAGUGGCGGACGGGUGAGUAAUAUAUCGGAACGUGCCCAGUAGCGGGGGAUAACUACUCGAAAGAGUGGCUAAUACUGCAUACUAUUGGUGCGGCUGAUACCGGAUUAGCUAGUUGGUGGGGUAAAGGCUAAUCAAGGCAACGCUCCGUAGCUGGUUUGAGAGGACGACCGGCCAUCCUGGGACUGAGAAACGGCCCAGACUCCUACGUGAGGCAGCAGUGGGGAAUUUUGGAUAAUGGCGGAAACCCUGACCCAGCCAUCCCGCGUGUAUGAGAAGGCCUUCGGGGUGUAAAGUACUUUUGGCAGAGAAGCGGUAUCUGCAGAAUAAGCACCGGCUAACUACGUGCCAGCAGCCGCGGUAAUAC
rnacentral:rRNA from 1 species